rnacentral:misc_RNA from 1 species
AAACUGCGAUAAGUAGUGUGAAUUGCAUUUAGUGAAUCAUCGAAUCUUUGAACGCACCCUGCACUCACUGGUAUUCCGGUGAGUACGCCUGUUUCAGUAUCAUUGAAAACACACAAUCAAAACAUUUUCUUUGGUUUGAUUGGCUUUGGGUCUAUCAAAAAGUUUGGCUUGUUUCUUACAAGCCAAGCGGCCUGAAAUAUAUUGUCUGGCUAAUUGCAUCGUUGAUGAUCGCUAUUAGACUUUGGCUUUUUUAAAUGAACUGGAGGUUGAUUAACCAGUUUUAGCUUUAGUCAAAUGGUCAUUGUAAAAAAAAUCUCGAUCUUGGCUAGGUGUUUAUAGCCGAAAAUUUUUUUUUGGCUAUAACCGAAACCGAUAUAAUCACAUUUAGUUAUCGAUCUGAAAUCAGGUGGGACUACCCGCUGAACUUAAGC